UUCAUGGGAGGCUUAUUAAUAAUCGAGGAAUAAAUAUCAAGCCUGGAAACCUGAUAUUGUAACGGACUGAAUGUUGUGUUUUUAAUGUAAUCCUUGCUCGGCUUGCGGGGGUGCAAGCGGUUGCCACGGCAACGGGUGUGCUUAAACGACAAAGAGACAGAGAGUAAAAAGGUAGGAGUGGUUUAGAGUUGAUCGUCUGUUCGGGUUGUUUGUCUAACGUUGCUGUGGCUCAUCAAUCACACCUGCUGCAGUUUCUGAACAUUCAAUAAACGACAAACUUGGACUAAUUA